rnacentral:pre_miRNA from 1 species
GUUGUACUCCCUCCGUUCGGAAUUACUUGUCUCGAAAAUGGAUGUAUCUAGAACUAAAAUACAUCUAGAUACAUCCAUUUCCACGACAAGUAAUUCCGAACGGAGGGAGUAGUUU